GCAGCCGCGGUAAUACGGAAGAUGCGAGCGUUAUCCGGAUUUAUUGGGUUUAAAGGGAGCGUAGGCGGGUUUUUAAGUCAGCUGUGAAAGUUUGAGGCUCAACCUUAAAAUUGCAGUUGAUACUGGAGACCUUGAGUGCGGUAAAGGUAGGCGGAAUUCGUGGUGUAGCGGUGAAAUGCUUAGAUAUCACGAAGAACUCCGAUUGCGAAGGCAGCUUACUGGGCCGUAACUGACGCUGAUGCUCGAAAGUGCGGGUAUCAAACAGGAUUAGAUACCCC
rnacentral:rRNA from 1 species